CCAUUCGAAUUUCAAAGGCAGCUAGAUAGUGGAUCUACAGCCAAAAUAGAUCCACUAAGGGACUGUUUGAUUGUGUAUAGUUGUAAUUGAAUUACGGUUGUAACUAUAUCCAAAUUCAAAUUAGCCGCUUGAAAUUAAAUUCAAUUAUUGCAAACAGAACUACUCGAGAAGACUCUUAUGCAGUAGUUGAAACUACGUCCAAUUGGCCGCAGUUUUAACAUUAAACAAAAUAAAGCUUACCUGGCUUUUAAUCUUCCAAACAAAAAAUUAUAUUUUUUUCUAUAUAGAGGGUAAUCUCAUUAUCUGAUAUAUGAAAUGAUAAAAUUUUAUAAAUGCACUUAUCAAUAGCACAUAACUAAACAUAUAUUAUAAUCAUUGUAUUUUCUACUAUAUCAAACCAAAUAAGAUUUAUGUAAUUAUAAUUAUUGCAUUAACUAUAUAUAUUUUGAACUACACAAUAGGCAUGUUUGGUUCAUCCAUUUUUCACCCCGGAAUCAAAAUCGGAAUGCAAGAUUGUAUUUCUGGUAUUGGAAAGUACCAUUCCAGUUUUGAUUUCUGGGUGAAACGGGAAUUGCCCAAUCACCUCUUUUUUCUUUCUGACCAAAGAGGCCAGUUUUAAAGUUGAAUCCGGACAGAAUGGAUAUUUGUUCAGAUUAAAUUUAAUUUUUUUAACCUUAGUUUUUAGUUAAAAUUUAAGUUUAAAUUUAGAAAUUAAAUUUAUAAUUUUAAUUUUAAUUUGAACUUGAAUUAAAAAUUAAAGUUCAAUCAAACAUUUCGAAUCUAAUUUAUGAAUUUGAAUUCAAAUUAAAAUUUAAUUUAAAAUUUAAAAUUUAAAAUUUUAUUUAAAAUUAAAAUUAAAUUUUAUGGAUUCAAACUGAAAUUUAAAUUGUACUUUUAAGUUUGAAUUUGAAUAAAUCAAAUUUUAGUUUUAUAUUUUGAAUUAUCCACUCAAUUUCAACUUUUAUUUUUUAAAAAAAAUUAUUUAAAAUUUUAACAUCAUUUCAAAAUUUUGAUGUAAAUUUUUAAUAUUUAAUUUUCAGUUUGAAUUUUAAUUAUAAAAUUUUAUGUUUUGAGUUGUGAACUCAGUUUUAAAUUAUUAUGUCAAUCCAAAUUCCAAUGGAUCUAGCAGAAAUGUUGAAAUUUUUUUUUUUAUUUAUAGUAUCAUAGUUUUGAGUAAUUUUAUUUAAAAUUUUAAUAAUAAAUUUUUUCAGAUUGUUUGGAAUAAUGAUAUAUUAUUUUGGAUAUUAUUACGAGUAAUUUUAGUUUGCUAUAAUGUUAGUCUUGAAAAUAUAAUUUCUCUUUCACUUUAGAAAAUGAUUAUGUUUUGUUAACUAUUUAAUUUAUUAGAAUCAUAUAAAAUUUUGUAAUUUAUAUGUUACCAUAUAAAUAUUAUAAUAAAAAAUAAUAAAAAAUAAUUUAUUUUUAUAUUAAAUAAUAUAAAAUAUAAAAGUGUCUUACUUUUUAUUAAUUAUUUUAUAAGUUGUUUAUUUAUAUUUUAAAUAGAGUAUUCAAAAUGGUUAAAAGUUAUUAAAAUGUAUGCAUAGAACGACUAUCCUAGUGAAAGCAUAGAGGACUUGGUACUUCUGACUUUUUAACUCUUGGAUCAAGUAUUGUACGGCUGGGAUAAUUGCAGUCCUCUCAGGAUUGAGUAGUCUACAUAAGGUAAUAAUAUUAAUCCAAAAAUUACAAGUGAUCAAAGGAGUUGAUCUAAGGGCCAAAAAGUCGAAAACACUAGGUUCUCUAUACUUCCGAUAGCAUAGUAGCUCAACUCAAAAUGUAAUAUAGGGAUAAAAUUUGUAUAUUAAUUUGAUUCUGUUUAUGAUAUUUACCUGAACUAAAUGCCGAUAAUCGAAAUGAUUCAUUCUAAUUCUGAUUCAGAUGACGAAUCAAACAGAAUGAAGUAACGAGUCAUUCCAAUUUCGAUUUCAACUUAUUCUCAUUCUCAUUUCGAUUUCGAUUCUAACUUCAAACCAAACGCACCAGUAUUUAUAAUUAUAUCUAACAAAAGUACUCCUUAAAUCCAGCCAACUUGUUAGGACUUUUCUCUUAUUAGUUUUUAUUUUUCC
rnacentral:lncRNA from 1 species